rnacentral:rRNA from 1 species
UGGGGAAUAUUGCACAAUGGGGGAACCCUGAUGCAGCCAUGCCGCGUGAAUGAAGAAGGCCUUCGGUUGUAAAGUUACUUUCGGUGAUGAGGAAGGCAGGUAAGUUAAUAGCUUACUUGAUUGACGUUAGUCACAGAAGAAGCACCGGCUAACUCCGUGCCAGCAGCCGCGGUAAUACGGAGGGUGCGAGCGUUAAUCGGAAUGACUGGGCGUAAAGGGCACGCAGGCGGUGACUUAAGUGAGAUGUGAAAGCCCCGGGCUUAACCUGGGAAUUGCAUUUCAUACUGGGUCGCUAGAGUAUUUUAGGGAGGGUAGAAUUCCACGUGUAGCGGUGAAAUGCGUAGAGAUGUGGAGGAAUACCGAAGGCGAAGGCAGCCCCUUGGG